rnacentral:rRNA from 1 species
GACGAACGCUGGCGGCGUGCUUAACACAUGCAAGUCGAACGGAAAGGCCCUGCUUUUGUGGGGUGCUCGAGUGGCGAACGGGUGAGUAACACGUGAGUAACCUGCCCUUGACUUUGGGAUAACUUCAGGAAACUGGGGCUAAUACCGGAUAGGAGCUCCGGCUGCAUGGUGGGGGUUGGAAAGUUUCGGCGGUUGGGGAUGGACUCGCGGCUUAUCAGCGUGUUGGUGGGGUAGUGGCUUACCAAGGCUUUGACGGGUAGCCGGCCUGAGAGGGUGACCGGCCACAUUGGGACUGAGAUACGGCCCAGACUCCUACGGGAGGCAGCAGUGGGGAAUAUUGCACAAUGGGCGGAAGCCUGAUGCAGCAACGCCGCGUGCGGGAUGACGGCCUUCGGGUUGUAAACCGCUUUCGCCUGUGACGAAGCGUGAGUGACGGUAAUGGGUAAAGAAGCACCGGCUAACUACGU